UUUAGGACUGUAUCUCAGUAGAUAGAUCCCCAGGCACUGCUAAGAUCUGUUCUGGACUGGAUAAUGAUUAAAUUGAUAACUGGUGUUCCUGGUAAUCAUUAGGCAGUUUAUUGUAACAGCUAUUGACCCAUGGUAUGGCACCAUUGGAAUUAUUGAAUACCAAUCUGCAGAAUGCCAAUUUAAUCCUUUAUUGGUCAUUGGCAUUAUCCGUGGUUAUUACAAUCUGUUUUAAAGACCUCAUUCCAGCAUAAAAAGCCCUGCUUAUUUAGCAUCAGCAACUACGCACAUCCCUACAAUCAUUAAAUGAGCAAUAGACCUUGCACUUGGGACAUAUAUUUUGUUUAAAGGCAGUAUAAUAGGAUGUUAGAAAAAUUUAUAGAAACCCUGAACUCCUUUUACCCUUGGAGGGCUUCCUUGACUAAAAAAAUCAGCCUUGACAUUGGAACCACCAAAACAUAAGACAUAUAAGAUAAAACAGAUUAUCAGAUAAAACACAUAUUGUAGUCCUCAGCACAAAAUAUUAUUAGUCUUGAGCAGAAUAAUUAACUAUAGUAUUCAAC